rnacentral:rRNA from 1 species
GACGAACGCUGGCGGCGUGCCUAAUACAUGCAAGUUGAGCGCUGAAGGUUGGUACUUGUACCAACUGGAUGAGCAGCGAACGGGUGAGUAACGCGUGGGGAAUCUGCCUUUGAGCGGGGGACAACAUUUGGAAACGAAUGCUAAUACCGCAUAAAAACUUUAAACACAAGUUUUAAGUUUGAAAGAUGCAAUUGCAUCACUCAAAGAUGAUCCCGCGUUGUAUUAGCUAGUUGGUGAGGUAAAGGCUCACCGAGGCGAUGAUACAUAGCCGACCUGAGAGGGUGAUCGGCCACACUGGGACUGAGACACGGCCCAAACUCCUACGGGAGGCAGCAGUAGGGAAUCUUCGGCAAUGGACGAAAGUCUGACCGAGCAACGCCGCGUGAGUGAAGAAGGUUUUCGGAUCGUAAAACUCUGUUGGUAGAGAAGAACGUUGGUGAGAGUGGAAAGCUCAUCAAGUGACGGUAACUACCCAGAAAGGGACGGCUAACUACGUG